rnacentral:rRNA from 1 species
AUUGAACGCUGGCGGCAGGCCUAACACAUGCAAGUCGAACGAGUGGCGGACGGGUGAGUAAUGUCUGGGAAACUGCCCGCUGGAGGGGGAUAACUACUGGAAACGGUAGCUAAUACCGCAUACCAUCGGAUGUGCCCAGAUGGGAUUAGCUAGUAGGUGGGGUAACGGCUCACCUAGGCGACGAUCCCUAGCUGGUCUGAGAGGAUGACCAGCCACACUGGCACGGAGACGCGGUCGAGACUCUUACGGGAGGCAGGAGUGGGGAAUAUGGCACAAUGGGGGGAAUCAUGAAGGAGCUACGCCGGUAGAGCGAUGAAGGUGUGCGAAUCGUAAAGCUCGUUCCGUUACCAUCGGAGGAAGCACCGGCUAACUCCGUGCCAGCAGCCGCGGUAAUUC